GACACAGGUGCUGCAUGGCUGUCGUCAGCUCGUGUCGUGAGAUGUUGGGUUAAGUCCCGCAACGAGCGCAACCCUUGUCCAUUAGUUGCUACGAAAGGGCACUCUAAUGGGACUGCCGGUGACAAACCGGAGGAAGGUGGGGAUGACGUCAAGUCCUCAUGGCCCUUAUAGGUGGGGCUACACACGUCAUACAAUGGCCGGUACAGAGGGUAGCCAACCCGCGAGGGGGAGCCAAUCCCACAAAGCCGGUCGUAGUCCGGAUCGCAGUCUGCAACUCGACUGCGUGAAGUCGGAAUCGCUAGUAAUCGUGGAUCAGCAUGUCACGGUGAAUACGUUCCCGGGUCUU
rnacentral:rRNA from 1 species